AACCGGGGAAUUGCAGUCGAAACUACUCGGGUAGAGUAUGGGAGAGGGUAGUGGAAUUCCCGGUGUAGCGGUGAAAUGCGUAGAUAUCGGGAGGAACAUCAGUGGCGAAGGCGGCUACCUGGCCCAAUACUGACACUCAGGUGCGACAGCGUGGGGAGCAAACAGG
rnacentral:rRNA from 1 species